AGAACAAAGAAAAGACAUGGCUCGGAGAUGAAGAUCAUCGCUUGAUGAUGAUGGGUCACAGAGACCGUUCCUGGCAGAAACAGAGAACCUCUUAAAGCCUGGAGCGAGGACUCCACCAUGCCAAAGACCAAAUAAACAUCCUUACAGUGAGCCAGGAUGUCAUCCUUUCUAGGAAUCAUGGUUCAACAUCCCCAACUGGGAUUGCAAUUUUGUAUUUCAGAUGGGAAUGGGGACAGGGAUGCUAUUAAAACAAAACAAACAAAACAAAACAAAACAAAACAAUUGUAAACACUUUGGAAAGUCAGAGUCAGCCUACAGUCUGCCAUGGCUGUGGUGAGAUGGAUGAUCUGUUGGUUUAUCUUCAAAGAAUUUGGUCUCCCUAAGGAAAUGGGUCCUGACAGUAGACUUGUUGACAGAGGAGGACACAUGGAGAAGAAUCGGGAGAACAAUUCUCAGUAGAACUUGGAAGGAGAUACAUCAAACUGUCAAGACAAUGCUAUAGAAUCUUCUGAAUCCAUGUUCUGAUUUAUUUUGUCAAUGCCCAUGUCACAAAAAUCUCCCAGAGCAAUUUAAAUAUUGUCUGUGUCACCAUAUUCUUCUGCUUCAGCUAUAAGAGCUGUGUGCUUUAAAGGAGUUCUGUGUGUAUGUUCCCUAAAUUGUCAUGGUGAUUGUACUUCUUAUGAUGAUUACAUGGCAAUAUAUCAUCAACAACAAAAAUAAAA